UGUUGGGGCAUUUAUCUGGACUCCACUGAGCGCAUAUUAUUACCCGUCUCAAUUUUGCAAAUCAAAGCACUUUUCUAGUUUCCAUUAUUGUUAUAUAAAAACAAGAGCUAAAAUGUAAAAGAUCAAACGAAGUUAAAAAUACACUUUUAUUUUAAGAUAAACAAUUUAAAUUUGCUUAAAUUAAGUGCUGCUUUACAUUUAAAACACAUUGGAGUUUUAGAAUUUGUUAAUAUAUUUGAAAAUCAAUUUUCAAAAAGGGUUCAAAAGUGGAAAACACUUUUUCGAAAGGGCAUAAAAAGAGGCUCGCUGUCAUGGUUUGCGCUUUAAACACACAUGCAAAAAACAAUGGUUCUAUCGGAAAAAUAAAAUAAAAUAAAAUAAAAUAAAAUGGAAUGGAAUGGAAUGAAAUGCUAGGCAAACAGCGACGGACAAAGUGAUUAUAUAAAAAACAUUACCAGUGAAAGCCGCCAGUAAAAAACAAAAAAAAAAAACUCUCGGAAGGAACGAGACAAGAAAAACGGAAAAUAAUGCCAAAGAACGAUUUCGAUUUAUCAGCAAAAACGAAAUGGGAGGCGAAAAAAAAAAUACGCGUUUUUAUCUCGCUGCUCAAUUGAUUUACAUAAUCAACGAAAUCGCUUUUUACCACCCAGCCACCCCUUUCAACACCCCCCCAACACCCCUGCCCAUCCACAUGGCAGUUGCCUUGUUCUCUGUGCAUUUAAUUAAAUGCUGAUUAAGUUUUAUUCAAUGGAGCACAAACACUAGCACAGUUAUCUAUAAUAUAGUACAAUGGAGCCGGAAUACGUAUACGACCCGUGUGCGCUGUUUGUGCAUAGAUUCGUUGAUUAGUCAUUGAUAUUGGGACAACGUGUUCAACUCGACUCGAAUCAAAUCGAAUCGAAUCGAACUGAAUCGACUUGAACCGAAUGGAAUGAAAUGGAAUCGAGCGGCGCUUUGCGUGUGAACCGAACUUUGUCAAUGAACUAGAGUGAAACUUUCGUUGGACUUGAUAUAAUAUAUAUCAUUCCUAACCUGUAAACUCUAGAUAAAGAUGGUCGGUGGACCACAGCUGGGGUAAUAAAUCAGUGGAAAAUUGCUGCUGAAGAGGAAAACUUGCCCGGCCGAACGAACAGAAGGUGGGAAAACUGUUGAAUUAUUUCCCAGGACACCGGCACACGCACACGCACAUGGAAUUAAAACAGAAGCAUAUCGAAUGAACGAGUCUUCGAAUCCUUGUAUCCUCGCACUCAUGUGCACGGGGAUCAGCCGAAGAGGAAACCUCAAGGAACCCAUAAAUUCUGCUGAGAAAAUCUCCCAAGGAAAACAAAAAUAGAAAAUGUGUCAAUGCAAACAACGGCAAGCCCAGUUCCCAGUUGUUGUUGUUGCUUCCAUUUCUGGCCAUGGAUCGUGGACCAAGUGAAUCUGGGCCAUAAAAGUGCAAAAUGUUUUCCACUCGGCUGGACCCUGAUUCUACCUCUCUACCUUCACAUCGCAUGCGAUGCACUCGUUAGGAACUACACUGGAAAAAAUAGUAGAGUAAAUUAUUUAGUUUAUGAGUAUUUAAGAAGCCAAAGAAAAUUACUUUAUAAGCUUAUAUUGUAUAAUUAUAUAUAUUAUUAUAAAUAUAUCAUAAAUUAUAUCUUUACUUCUAGAACUACACUGGAAAAAAAGUAGAGUACAUUAUUU